rnacentral:rRNA from 1 species
AGCGAACGCUGGCGGCAGGCCUAACACAUGCAAGUCGAGCGCCCCGCAAGGGGAGCGGCAGACGGGUGAGUAACACGUGGGAACGUGCCCUUCGGUUCGGAAUAGCCCGGGGAAACUCGGAGUAAUACCGGAUACGUCCGCAAGGAGAAAGAUUUAUCGCCGAAGGAUCGGCCCGCGUCUGAUUAGCUUGUUGGUGAGGUAACGGCUCACCAGGGCGACGAUCAGUAGCUGGUCUGAGAGGAUGAUCAGCCACACUGGGACUGAGACACGGCCCAGACUCCUACGGGAGGCAGCAGUGGGGAAUAUUGGACAAUGGGCGCAAGCCUGAUCCAGCCAUGCCGCGUGAGUGAUGAAGGCCCUAGGGUUGUAAAGCUCUUUCGGCGGGGAAGAUAAUGACGGUACCCGCAGAAGAAGCCCCGGCCAACUUCGUGCCAGCCGCCGCUGUAA